CAUAAAUAUCUUGUAUAUUUAUAAUAUUGGCAGUGUAGUUCUUGCUGGCUCUGGGUGACGAGAGAUCUCGAAAUCAAGAGAUUGAACCAAAAAAACAACUCUUUUUAUAAGAGUUGUUUUUUUA
rnacentral:sRNA from 1 species